rnacentral:rRNA from 1 species
GACGAACCGAGCGAACGUUAUUCGGAAUCACUGGGCUUAAAGGGCGCGUAGGCGGGCGGUCAAGUCCGGGGUGAAAGCCCCCAGCUCAACUGGGGAAGUGCCUCUGAUACUGAUCGUCUCGAGGGAGAUAGGGGCGUGCGGAACUUCCGGUGGAGCGGUGAAAUGCGUAGAUAUCGGAAGGAACACCGGUGGCGAAAGCGGCGCGCUGGAUCUCUUCUGACGCUGAGGCGCGAAAGCCAGGGGAGCGAACGGG